UGCGUGAGGGAAAUUUAAAAAUCUCUGCAUAAAAUUGAUUUUGGCACCCUACUCAAAAGAUAUAAAAUAGGAUUUAUACAAUCAGUAUUGGAGGCUCAGAUUUUUCUUCGAACCAUUUGACUUGGAUGACUAAUUCCCAUCCUUUUUUUUUUUUUUUGAAUAGCAAGAUGGAUAACUGCACCUUUAGACACUGAAUACAUUUGGAGGUUGCCACUUUGAGGAAAGCUAUUGUAGAAGUAUAAAACAGCUUUUUUUUUUAUCAAACCACAAAUCUAAUCUUGCAAUGGGUGUUAAUAUUAAACUGGACUCCAAUCAAACUGGGUGAAUGCUGAGAAUACACAACGGUGGUCCUUUCGCUAAGCCUAAAAGGGAGAUUCUGUGUAAGCAUCUCUACCAAUAAAGGAGAACAGUGAUAGCUCAGGGUUAAUGUAAGGGGUUCUUGAUGCUCUCUGAGCUUGGUUGUUUUCUUGCAGACGUCUCACUACCCAACUAGGUAACAUCAUCAGCGCUAUCACUAGUGACUUAGUUUGGGUAGCGAAACAACUACAAGAGAACAACCAAGCUCACGGAGCACCGAGGAUCCCUCAGCUCUCUACCCUUUUAAAGCAAAAGCUUACAAAAGUCGUGAUUUUUUUUUUUUAAUCACAGAAUUCGCUGAUU